rnacentral:lncRNA from 1 species
AUGAUGAGACCUGCACUUGCUGCAAUUAGUUGGUAAAAAAUACCAAAACUAAAAUAUUGUUUCAACUUUCAUUCUUUGCUGGUACCAUAACAAGAGAAUCUGCCUACAAAACUUUAUACUUUUUACCUGUAUUGCCUAUCUACAAAACUGGAUGCGCGGCUUUCUGAWAWSWGUUUCAAGAAUGGAUGCACUUGAAAGACCUCUAAAUGUGAGGAAACACUGCGAAAUUAGUCAAAAAUACACAAAUAGUCUCUGUCCUGACUGCAAAUGUUGUCACAUGGUAGAAAUCUUCUGUAGAAUCCAUGGGAUCAUCCAGGUACUGCUAGUUUUGCGCAGGGUUAUUACCUGCAGGUACAAAUUUGGAUUAUUAGUGGAUUAUAUAAAUUAAUCACAGUAUGAUUUUUUUUUCNCACUUUCUUAAUGGGUUUGUAGUUUGGGUUCAUGAAAAUAAUAUUAAUAGAGCAACCUUGUUUGUAGCUAAAUGCCUAACUACUAGAAAAUUCAUGCAGCACAAACACAAAUCAACUAUGUACCCGAACACGGCGGCUUUAAUAAAAGCUGUGUGUAAAACCAUUGAUCUGAAAGAUAAAAGAACAGGCAGAGGAAGUGCAUAAGUAGAAGAACUUGCCAUACAGGAUCCUGAUCGGAAUGUACAUAGAAACUAGCAGCAACUAUCAGAUAGCAUAGAAACAACAUCAACCCUUUUAAGCAAUUUGAAGUCCCAUCCUGGAAAUUCAGAGAAAAAUAGAAGAGUGAAUUCAUGCAAAAGCAAGACAGAGGUGUCGACGAAUGUUGGUGCAUGAUUUUAGUACCUGCAAUAAAAACGCGACAACCAGCACUGUCAUUAAGAGGCUUGCAGUCUCGAAGAGAUGAAAGUUCAAGUCCAUCGGCUGGCCCAUCAUCCACCC